rnacentral:snRNA from 1 species
CCUCCCUUCCGGCAGCACUAUAUACUAAUGGAAUGAUACGGAAAGUUUAGCAUGGGCCCCUGCAAAGCAUGACAUGCAAAUUUGUGGAAGCAGUCAUAUUUUU